GGUGGGGUACCGAAGCGGCCAACCGGGGCAGACUGUAAAUCUGCUGGCGUAUGCCUACGGAGGUUCGAAUCCUCCCCCCACCA
rnacentral:tRNA from 1 species